rnacentral:rRNA from 1 species
CAUUGCGGCGGGCUACACAUGCAGUCGAGCGGAUGAAGGGAGCUUGCUCCUGGAUUCAGCGGCGGACGGGUGAGUAAUGCCUAGGAAUCUGCCUGGUAGUGGGGGAUAACGUCCGGAAACGGGCGCUAAUACCGCAUACGUCCUGAGGGAGAAAGUGGGGGAUCUUCGGACCUCACGCUAUCAGAUGAGCCUAGGUCGGAUUAGCUAGUUGGUGGGGUAAAUCCCUUCUUGUGGGGACCA